AUGACAUACUUCCAACUUUCAGGAACAGAUGCUAAGGACGAAAGAAGCCUUGUAAACCACAGUACCCACCGACUUCCCUCAGCUCUCAUGAUCCUAGAACCAUCAGCAAGUAGCACCGCGCCUGUUCAGAGACGCUGGGAAGCCAGGACUCGCUUGGAGCUACCUCGGGCAAUGCACAGCCACAAGUUCUACCAGCCGGAAUUCUUGGGGCAUCUGGGAAAUGAGUUAGCGUUGUUUAAAAUGAGAGAAAAUAUAAAGAAACACAAGAUAAGAUUUGCAUCUAAAAAGAUAAAUAACAUUGUGUGA
rnacentral:lncRNA from 1 species